rnacentral:tRNA from 1 species
UUUGAGGUGGAGGAGCUUGAGGAUCUCAGCCUCUUUGCGCAAGGCGUGGUUGUCGGUCACGUGCUGGAGAAGAACAAACAUCCCAAUGCCGACAAGUUGAGUGUUUGUUCGGUGGACGUGGGGGCUGAAUCUCCACUUCAGAU